rnacentral:rRNA from 1 species
GCACCAGUGGGGAAUAUUGGGCAAUGGAGGAAACUCUGACCCAGCGACGCCGCGUGCGGGAUGAAGGCCUUCGGGUUGUAAACCGCUUUCAGUAGGGAAGAAGCGAAAGUGACGGUACCUACAGAAGAAGCACCGGCUAACUAUGUGCCAGCAGCCGCGGUAAUACAUAGGGUGCAAGCGUUGUCCGGAAUUAUUGGGCGUAAAGAGCUCGUAGGUGGUUCGUUACGUCGGAUGUGAAAAUCUGGGGCUCAACCCCAGACCUGCAUCCGAUACGGGCGAGCUAGAGUUUGGUAGGGGAGACUGGAAUUCCUGGUGUAGCGGUGGAAUGCGCAGAUAUCAGGAGGAACACCAAUGGCGAAGGCAGGUCUCUGGGCCAAUACUGACACUGAGGAGCGAAAGCGUGGGGAGCGAACAGGAUU